rnacentral:rRNA from 1 species
UACGGGGGGGGCGAGCGUUGUUCGGAAUUACUGGGCGUAAAGGGCGCGUAGGCGGUUUGCUAAGUUAGAUGUGAAAACUCUGGGCUCAACCCAGAGCCUGCAUCUAAAACUGGCAGGCUAGAGUUCUGGAGGGGGUAGCGGAAUUCCUGGUGUAGCGGUGAAAUGCGUAGAUAUCAGGAGGAACACCGGUGGCGAAGGCGGAUCUCUGGGCCGACACUGACGCUGAGGAGCGAAAGCGUGGGGAGCGAACAGG